CUACGUGCCAGCAGCCGCGGUAAUACGGAAGGUCCAGGCGUUAUCCGGAUUUAUUGGGUUUAAAGGGAGCGUAGGCUGGAAAUUAAGUGUGUUGUGAAAUGUAGACGCUCAACGUCUGAAUUGCAGCGCAUACUGGUUUCCUUGAGUACGCACAACGUUGGCGGAAUUCGUCGUGUAGCGGUGAAAUGCUUAGAUAUGACGAAGAACUCCGAUUGCGAAGGCAGCUGACGGGAGCGCAACUGACGCUUAAGCUCGAAGGUGCGGGUAUCAAACAGGAUUAGAUACCCUGGUAGUCCGCACAGUAAACGAUGGAUGCCCGCUGUUGGUACCUGGUAUCAGCGGCUAAGCGAAAGCAUUAAGCAUCCCACCUGGGGAGUACGCCGGCAACGGUGAAACUCAAAGGAAUUGACGGGGGCCCGCACAAGCAGCGGAGCAUGUGGUUUAAUUCGAAGCAACGCGAAGAACCUUACCAGGGCU
rnacentral:rRNA from 1 species